rnacentral:rRNA from 1 species
UACGUAGGGGGCAAGCGUUGUCCGGAAUCAUUGGGCGUAAAGCGCGCGUAGGCGGCCCGGUAAGUCCGUUGUGAAAGUCAAAGGCUCAACCUUUGAACGCCGAUGGAUACUGCCGGGCUAGAGUCCGGGAAGAGGCGAGUGGAAUUCCUGGUGUAGCGGUGGAAUGCGCCAGAUAUCAGGAGGAACACCGAUAGCGAAGGCAGCUCGCUGGGACGGUACUGACGCUGAGGCGCGAAAGCGUGGGGAGCGAACAGG